UACGUAGGUGGCAAGCGUUGUCCGGAAUUAUUGGGCGUAAAGAGCUCGUAGGCGGUUUGUUGCGUCGGCUGUGAAAUCCCGAGGCUCAACCUCGGGUCUGCAGUCGAUACGAGCAAACUGGAGUGUUGCAGGGGAGACUGGAAUUCCUGGUGUAGCGGUGAAAUGCGCAGAUAUCAGGAGGAACACCGGUGGCGAAGGCGGGUCUCUGGGCAACAACUGACGCUGAGGAGCGAAAGCGUGGGGAGCGAACAGG
rnacentral:rRNA from 1 species